CCUACGGGAGGCAGCAGUGGGGAAUAUUGCACAAUGGGCGCAAGCCUGAUGCAGCAACGCCGCGUGAGGGAUGACGGCCUUCGGGUUGUAAACCUCUUUUAGCAGGGAAGAAGCGAGAGUGACGGUACCUGCAGAAAAAGCACCGGCUAACUACGUGCCAGCAGCCGCGGUAAUACGUAGGGUGCAAGCGUUAUCCGGAAUUAUUGGGCGUAAAGAGCUCGUAGGCGGUUUGUCGCGUCUGCUGUGAAAUCUGGGGGCUCAACCCCCAGCCUGCAGUGGGUACGGGCAGACUAGAGUGCGGUAGGGGAGAUUGGAAUUCCUGGUGUAGCGGUGGAAUGCGCAGAUAUCAGGAGGAACACCGAUGGCGAAGGCAGAUCUCUGGGCCGUAACUGACGCUGAGGAGCGAAAGGGUGGGGAGCAAACAGGCUUAGAUACCCUGGUAGUCCACCCGUAAACGUUGGGAACUAGUUGUGGGGUCCAUUCCACGGAUUCCGUGACGCAGCUAACGCAUUAAGUUCCCCGCUGGGGAUACGGCCGCAAGGCUAAAACUCAAAGAUAGUACGGCGUGNGAGACGCGACGACGACGACGACGGAGGAG
rnacentral:rRNA from 1 species